UGCAGUCGACGAACUCUGGUAUUGAUUGGUGCUUGCAUCAUGAUUUACAUUUGAGUGAGUGGCGAACUGGUGAGUAACACGUGGGAAACCUGCCCAGAAGCGGGGGAUAACACCUGGAAACAGAUGCUAAUACCGCAUAACAACUUGGACCGCAUGGUCCGAGUUUGAAAGAUGGCUUCGGCUAUCACUUUUGGAUGGUCCCGCGGCGUAUUAGCUAGAUGGUGGGGUAACGGCUCACCAUGGCAAUGAUACGUAGCCGACCUGAGAGGGUAAUCGGCCACAUUGGGACUGAGACACGGCCCAAACUCCUACGGGAGGCAGCAGUAGGGAAUCUUCCACAAUGGACGAAAGUCUGAUGGAGCAACGCCGCGUGAGUGAAGAAGGGUUUCGGCUCGUAAAACUCUGUUGUUAAAGAAGAACAUAUCUGAGAGUAACUGUUCAGGUAUUGACGGUAUUUAACCAGAAAGCCACGGCUAACUACGUGCCAGCAGCCGCGGUAAUACGUAGGUGGCAAGCGUUGUCCGGAUUUAUUGGGCGUAAAGCGAGCGCAGGCGGUUUUUUAAGUCUGAUGUGAAAGCCUUCGGCUCAACCGAAGAAGUGCAUCGGAAACUGGGAAACUUGAGUGCAGAAGAGGACAGUGGAACUCCAUGUGUAGCGGUGAAAUGCGUAGAUAUAUGGAAGAACACCAGUGGCGAAGGCGGCUGUCUGGUCUGUAACUGACGCUGAGGCUCGAAAGUAUGGGUAGCAAACAGGAUUAGAUACCCUGGUAGUCCAUACCGUAAACGAUGAAUGCUAAGUGUUGGAGGGUUUCCGCCCUUCAGUGCUGCAGCUAACGCAUUAAGCAUUCCGCCUGGGGAGUACGGCCGCAAGGCUGAAACUCAAAGGAAUUGACGGGGGCCCGCACAAGCGGUGGAGCAUGUGGUUUAAUUCGAAGCUACGCGAAGAACCUUACCAGGUCUUGACAUACUAUGCAAAUCUAAGAGAUUAGACGUUCCCUUCGGGGACAUGGAUACAGGUGGUGCAUGGUUGUCGUCAGCUCGUGUCGUGAGAUGUUGGGUUAAGUCCCGCAACGAGCGCAACCCUUAUUAUCAGUUGCCAGCAUUAAGUUGGGCACUCUGGUGAGACUGCCGGUGACAAACCGGAGGAAGGUGGGGAUGACGUCAAAUCAUCAUGCCCCUUAUGACCUGGGCUACACACGUGCUACAAUGGAUGGUACAACGAGUUGCGAACUCGCGAGAGUAAGCUAAUCUCUUAAAGCCAUUCUCAGUUCGGAUUGUAGGCUGCAACUCGCCUACAUGAAGUCGGAAUCGCUAGUAAUCGCGGAUCAGCAUGCCGCGGUGAAUACGUUCCCGGGCCUUGUACACACCGCCCGUCACACCAUGAGAGUUUGUAACACCCAAAGUCGGUGGGGU
rnacentral:rRNA from 2 species